GUGAAGGGAGGGCGCAGUGGGGGCUGGGCGGUGGCACCGCGUUGCCUCGGUGCCCGGGGCGCGCGUCCCUAGCAGCCGCCGCCCACGUCAAGGUUUGUUUAAUAAUCGCCCGGGGAUUUAAGGCCUGGGCUCGCGGCGGGCCGCGGGGGAGCCAGGAGACCGCGCCGGGCAGCGGAUGAGGCGCGGAGGCUGUGGCCCAGGGCACCUCCCCCCGGCUUCCCCAAACCCUGCCCGGUCAGACCCGAGGGGGAGGAUGGAAACAUCGGCCGAACUCUGAGCCCCUCAGGAAGAUAACACCCUUCCCGCCCACUCGCCCUGCGGUCCAGCGGAGGCCACCGACUCGUCCCUCCAAGUCUCCAUCUCCCCGAGCCGGACCGAGCGGAAAAACCAGCGAUGGCGGAAACCCUGAGGAAACUGGUCUCCAACGAUUUUCUACGAACGAUGUACGAGAACCUGGAGCGCUGGCAGAGGGAUUACAACACAAACUCAUGUGAUCAGAAUCUAAGUUUUUGCCUGGAAUUCAUUGAACAAGUUGCCAAGAUGCAGGGACAACUCUUUGGAAUCCUCACUACAACAGCUCAAGAAGGAGGACGUUAUGAUGGUGUGGAAGUAAUCAAAUCACGCCUUUUGCCUUGGCUGGAGACCGCCUUUACUGCUGCUUCCCUGGGAAAACCUAUUGACAGCAAGGUCCCCUCUCUGCAGGACACGUUUGAAAGGGAGAGACAGAAAGAGGCUGGGGCUCGAGAACGGGAGAUGAAACAAUUAGAAGUGGAGCUGAGCUCAACUCAUAAUCAAAUCAACCAGAUUCAAGACGAUCUGCCUGACUCUCCAAAGACUCUUGAAGCAACCAAGAACAGUUCGGCCAUAUCCCUUUUGGCUGCAGAGGAGGAAAUAAAUCAGCUAAAAAAGCAGCUUAAAUCUCUUCAAGCCCAGGAGGAGUCCCGCCACAGAGGCUCAGCGCAUAGAGCCGCUGUGCAAAAGAGCUCAGAGCGAGGUGUGGAGCCCAGAGGUGCGGAGCCCAGAGGUGCGGAGUCCAGAGGCCCGGAGUGGAGGAUCUCGGAGUUGAGGCGGUCAGAGCAUCGCAGCUCCGAAAAGCGCAGCGGCUUGGACAAGCGCAUCUCCGGCUUGGACAAGCGUGACCGUGACCGUGACCGUGACCGUGACCGUGACCGUGACCGGUGUGACCCCGAAGUGAUAUCCGAUUAUGAGAAGCAGGUCCGCUCGCUGAAGGACGAGAUCGCUGCUCUGACGGCCGAAAAAUCUGCCCUCCAAGGAAGGUCCGCCCGGAGCCAGUCUCCCAGCCCCGCCGCUCGCAGCUGCAGCCCGGUCGCUCGCAGCCGCAGCCCAGGCGCUCGCAGCCCCAGCCGCAGCCGCAGUCACAGUCGCAGUCGCAGUCACAGUCGCAGAGGCAGCCGCAGCGAAAGCCGCAGCCGCAGCCACAGCCGCAGCCGCAGCCGCAGAGGCAGCCGCAGCCGCAGCCCCAGCGGCAGCCGCAGCCGGUCGGGCAGCCCCUCCAACGCGAUGGUGAAGAUCAGGACGCCGUCCCCGAACCGCGCCAAACUGUCCAGUGCGGCGCGCAAGGCCGCGCUCCUGUCCCGGUUCAGCGACGCCUACUCCCAGGCCCGCCUGGACGCGCAGUGCCUGCUGCGGCAAUGCAUCGACAACGCCGAGACCGUGCAGCGCAUCAUCUACAUCGCCACCGUGGAGGCAUUCCAUGUAGCUAAAAUGGCGUUCAGACAUUUCAAAAUCCGCGUAAGGAAAUCUUUGACACCAUCUUAUAUGGGGGCAAAUGACUUUGAGGAUGCCGUCACGGAUUAUAUAAUUUGUCACCUUGAUCUAUACGAUUCCCAAAACAGUGUCAACGACGUGAUUCGAGCCAUGAAUGUCAAUCCCAAGAUUUCAUUCCCUCCGGAAGUUGAUUUUUGCCUCCUCGGUAACUUCAUCCAGGAGAUAUGUUGCAUUGCCUUUGCGAUGCAGGCUUUAGAGCCACCCCUAGAUAUUGCAUUUGGGGCCGAUGGAGAAAUGUUUAAUGAUUGCAAGUACCGUCGCAGCUAUGACUCGGAUUUCACGGCGCCCUUGGUCUUCUAUCACGUGUGGCCUGCCCUCAUGGAGAAUGACACCGUCGCUAUGAAGGGGGAAGCUGUCACCAAGAGAGGGGCUUUUGUACGGUGGCCUUGCGUUGUGACAAUUCGUCCCAAGUGUUUGAUUCACAAUGGAAUUCUGUGCGACCGCUAAGCCGAAGUCGAAGCAGGAGUUUAAGUCCCAUCUGCCCCCGUAGCCGUAUUGGUAUGAGCCUGAUAUCUCGAAGCCGGAGUCCUUCUCCAAUAAGAUGUGCACUGCCAAGGUAUUAAACCACCAGGCGUGUUCCUCUGCCACAGCACAUCACCUGCACCAGCGCAUCGGCACCAGCCCGCCUCCCCUGCGCCCACCGGCCUCCCCAGAGCCCGCCCGCCCGCCCGCUGUGUCUGCCGCACUCCUCACUUAAGAUAAUGUGAAAGGGCAAUUCUGUGUAUCACUCCACACAGAGACUUAAAUGUUUUGGCUUGACGCAUUUGUAACUUCAGAUAUAUCGCAUUUUAUUUUAUUUGAUAGGUACCAACCCCAUGACUUUGAUAAAAACGAUUGCAUAGGCGUUUAGGAUCACAUUCAUUCGAAGCAGCCCAUUGCCCAGGUUCAGGGCUCUCAUGGCAACUGGGUGAACGCCCGAGGAAAACCUUUACCAUGCCUAGUCCAGAAGACAGAGGAGAGGUCGUAGUUUACAGUUUGAUCAUCAGCAUUAUAAUUAAUAGGAUUAGCUCUAACUUGAAAACAAAAUUGGGUGUUUUACUUUGCUUUUGAGGUUUGGAAGCCAGCCCUAAGCUCAGGUUGGGGAACUUGUAGCAGGAAUGGUGACGUUAGGCUGCAUGCAGAGGAUGGUGCGUGACCAGGCUGUGGGUCAUUCACUGGCUUGCUUCUGCUUUCUUACUUUGGGUGCCCAGUUUGGUUGAGCUGAGUACUGUACGUUGAAGCUACUGAGUUGAGAGAGUUUUCUCGCUUCAUAAGUGCGGAGCAGUGAUUUGGACAGAAGGCAGCAUUGAGAUAAAUGUUUAUUACCUUAUGCUUAUCUCCUGGGAAUGUUUCAUACAGCUUUAAUGUAUGUGUUAAAUAUAACAGCUACCUGGGCCAUGCCCUUUCCCUAUUCCACCUACUUGGUCACAAAUUCAGACCUCCUAUGAACUCUGUCUGACCCCAAAUACCUAAACUCAAGGCCUAAAACUAGGAACACCAUUUACUGAUUUUAUUCCUCAAUUUCUUCACUGUGAAGUUCUGUUGUAAGUUCAAGAUAAAAAUGGAAUGUGGCUUUUCAAGAUAAGCCAUAGUCUUUUUAGGCUUUUUGUUUAUUUAUUUAUUUUUUUUACUUUAACACCGGCCUUGUGCACAAGCCUGACAAAUGACUGCUUUCGCCAAGUGCCUUUUAGAGAGAAACUCUGAAUUGGCCACAGCUCAGCUUGCAUCAGCUCAGUGCCAAACCCAGCACCUGAAGCUUUUCAGGUGGAACCUCCCCCCUUCCCUGCCGAAUUUCUCUAAAACAUCUGUCCCUAGAGAGGAGGGAGAGAUCGCCCAGUGCUGCCCUUGGGUGUAAUGUCACCAGCGCACCCUGCAGGGUGAGUUGGUUUUCCCCACGUGGAGUAUUUGUGUAGUUCUCUCUUCGGGGCCAUGCAGGGUGCUAGAAGGAGAACCUGGUGUCGGGUAACUCCAGUUCUGUUUGGUCAUUAGCUGGCUUUGUGGCCUUGAGCACGUUACUUCACCUCUCUGAGCCUUUGUCCCCUGUGGAGUGAGAGGCUGGAUGAGAUCAGUGGUUCUCUCCACCCUCCCAGGGUCAGUGCCCCCUUUUUCAAACAAAUAUUUUUUUUCUGGCAGUUCUGAAGUGAAAUUCAAAGUUAAUGGGGUCAACAUGACAUAUAUUUUUAAACAAUGAAUAUAAUACCCUAACUGUAAUAGGAUCAGUAAAAAGGAAAGGCAGUUUUUAAGAGAGUAAAAAUGUAUUUAAUAGCAAAGCUUGGGUGUGACCAUCUGGAAGACAGAAUGAAGUCAUCAGAUGCUUUCACCGUGUGUAGCAUCACAAGCUCCCAGGGCAGACCAGUGUGUGUUGCAUUGGCAACAUUGCACAUAGGGUUGUCACUGGGUAUGAUUCUCUGAAGUGGUAGACAGCUCUCGGAAAGUUUUGAACAAAAAUCUUAGAGUUGUGCCUUGUACACGCAUUCCUGGAAUAGUCGCUGGAUAGUAAAACCAUGCAACAAUUACCUUUAGCUAUAUGUCGAAAGGUCAUUUCUAACAUCUCACUAAGUAAAGAGAAUGCUUACAUACCAGAAUUUUCUUUGUGGAGUUGGAUGUGGAAGUUCAUGCUCUGAUUUGGAAAAAGGACACCUGUAUUCAGUGUAUGUGCUCCGUACCCUGUCUGGCCACGUGCCCUUUCUCAGGUCUCCAGUUUGAACUAUAACCACAACAGGGAAUGGGGGGUAGUCUAGAGUAAUUUUGGGGGGAAAAUCCACAAAACCAAAGGAGGCCAACCUGUGCUCCUUUCACCUGGGUAUGCACCUUAACCUCAGUAACUUUGAAAAAUAAAAAGCUCUUACUUCAUAAUCUGGGUAAAUAUUAGCUUCUGUAUUAUUGGUUUAAUAUCGAAUAAUAAAAUUGAGGGAAAAAACUG